CUCUAGGUAGCCAAGUUGGUUUAAGGCGCAAGACUGUAAAUCUUGAGAUCGGGCGUUCGAAUCGCCCCCUGGAGA
rnacentral:tRNA from 1 species